AUUGAACGCUGGCGGAAUGCUUUACACAUGCAAGUCGAACGAUGAAGUCUAGCUUGCUAGACGGAUUAGUGGCGAACGGGUGAGUAAUAUAUCGGAACGUAUCCAUUAAUGGGGGAUAACUAGUCGAAAGAUUGGCUAAUACCGCAUACGUCCUACGGGAGAAAGCUAGGGACCUUCGGGCCUGGCGUUAAUGGAGCGGCCGAUAUCUGAUUAGCUAGUUGGUGAGGUAAAGGCUCACCAAGGCGACGAUCAGUAGCUGGUCUGAGAGGACGACCAGCCACACUGGAACUGAGACACGGUCCAGACUCCUACGGGAGGCAGCAGUGGGGAAUUUUGGACAAUGGGCGCAAGCCUGAUCCAGCCAUUCCGCGUGAGUGAAGAAGGCCUUCGGGUUGUAAAGCUCUUUCGCAAGGGAAGAAAACUUACCCUCUAACAUAGGGUGAGGAUGACGGUACCUUGAUAAGAAGCACCGGCUAACUACAUGCCAGCCGCCGCAGUAAAAC
rnacentral:rRNA from 1 species